UGCCAGCCGCCGCGGUAAAACCAGCACCUCAAGUGGUCAGGAGGAUUAUUGGGCCUAAAGCAUCCGUAGCCGGCUCUGUAAGUUUUCGGUUAAAUCCAUGUGCUCAACGCAUGGGCUGCCGAAAAUACUGCAUAGCUAGGGAGUGGGAGAGGUAGACGGUACUCGGUAGGAAGGGGUAAAAUCCUUUGAUCUAUCGAUGACCACCUGUGGCGAAGGCGGUCUACCAGAACACGUUCGACGGUGAGGGAUGAAAGCUGGGGGAGCAAACCGGAUUAGAUA
rnacentral:rRNA from 1 species